rnacentral:lncRNA from 1 species
GAGAAAAGGAGCUGCCGGCCGGAGUUCUAGCACCGAGAAGGAGAGUACUGGAAUACCUGAGUUUUGGCUGGGCACAGAACUGUCUGGAAUACAGACUGCAAUUCCCAGCCUUCUGUGCAGUUCUGUGUGGCCAUGUGACUAAGUUGUGGUCAAUAUGAGUCACGGAAGAAUAGAAGAACAACUCAGAGGAGGAAGAAGUCAGACAUAGCCAGACACGGCUGCUAGCAGUUCCACCAAUGAAAGAGGAGACCAGGAUGUUUAAAACAGGCAAACACAAGGUGCGAAAAACCAGAAGCG